rnacentral:lncRNA from 10 species
AUUUCUGACAACAAUGAAAUAGUUUAUUUUCUUCAAAUAUUUUAAGGUACGAACGUCAGAAAUAAAAAUGCAGCAUUUAACCCUGGAACCUCAAAUAUCACUGAUUAUACUCAAAGGAGCAGAGGCAUUGUUUUCCAUCUGAUUCCUCAGUUCCUCACACACACAACCAUCCCCCUCACCCCAUGAUCUGAAAAGCGAAAUGAGGAAUUCACCCUAAAAUUAGUGUGGAGAAAACAAGCAAAUUAGGUUAUUUACUAAGUGACUACAUAAAAAACUGAGUAUGAGACCAAGAAAAAUAGAUUCUGUAGUUUUAGUUAAAAAAAAAAUUGACUUGUAAAUCCCAACUACUCGGGAGGCUGAGACACAAGAAUCGCUUGAACCCAGGAGGCAGAGGUUGCAGUGAGCUGAGAUUGCACCGCUGCACUCCAGCCUGGACAAUACAGCCAGACUCCAUCUCAAAAAAAAAAAUAAUUAAUAAAUAAAUAAAAUAAAUAUACUGAAAAUAUUUCACUCCACUAAGAUGUUAAGCUAAAAACAAAUACUGUUUUCUCUUCUUCAAUGUUUGUUAACAUUAGUCCUUAAUAACAUCUGUUUACAAUAUCCCUAAAUGCUCUCUUUAAGAUUCCACCUGUGAUUAAAUUUCAAAUACAAAAAAGUAAAACGGAUUUGGGAAACUUUUCUAUAAAGUACAGCAAUUAAUUUGCAAUCCAAAAUAUAAAGCAAAUUUUAUAUAAUUUAUGCUUUACUAUAUUAGUACUUGCUUCACAUUAAAAUUAAAGAUCAGUAUGGCACCACACAUGAAUAACAUGCAGGCUCAGGUUACCAUUAUACAUAAAUUUUUAAAAUAAAUAUAUGGCAAAAAUAAUAAUUGUCAUUCCAUUGAAAGAAUAUUUAUUUUGCAGCUGUUAAAAGACACAACAAUACCAUAAUUUAAUCACUUAAAAUCUUACUCAAAACUAAAUCAAUGAUCUUUUAGGCCAGGUGUGGUGGCUCAUGAUAGUAAUCACAGUACUUUGGGAGGCCAAGGCAGGAGGAUCACUUGAGGUCAGGAGUUCAAGACCAGCAUGGCCAACACAAUGAAAAUCCAUCUCUACUAAAAAUACAAAAAUUAGCCAGGCUAAUGGCACACUCCUGUAAUACCAGCUACUUAGGAGGCUGAGGCAGGAGAAUCGCUUGAACCUGGGAGGCAGAGGUUGCAGUGAGCCGAGAUCAUGCCACUGCACUCCAGGCUGGACAACAGAGCAAGACUCCGCAUCAAAAAAAAAAAAAAGAUAUUUUAAUAUAUUCAGAUACACAAAUAUGAAAUAAAACUAAGUAGAGCUGGUAUUCAUUUACACAUAAUUAUCUUAUACCGUUUGGAAUAAGAAUUUGGGGCACGUUAGCAAACCAAAAGGCUCAGAAAGACGUCGUGAUAUUUAGUUCUUGUCUCCCUCUACAAAUGUGAAGCACUCUUCUAUCCGGCAUUCCUAGUGGAGUUCCUAUUUUCAAAUUUGCAAAUCAUUCUGGUGCUAAGCAAUCUCAAAAAAAACAUUUACUAAAAACCAGAGGAAAAAAAUCUUAUAACUUUGGGAGGCUGAGGCAGAUGGAUCACUGAGAUCAGGAGUUUGAGACCAGCUUGGCCAACAUGAUGAAACCCCAUCUUCUCUAAAAAUACAAAAAGUUAGCUGGGUGUGGUGGCAGGUGCCUGUAGUCCCAGCUAUUCCAGAGGCUGAGGCAGGAGAAUCACUUGAACCUCUGAGGCGGAGGUUGCAGUGAGCUGAGAUCGCGCCAUUGCACUCCAGCCUGGGCAACAGAGUGAGACUCUGUCUCAAAAAAUAAAUAUAAAAAAAUAAAAAGCUGCUAUUCUCCAUUAAUACCUGCAGGCCCGACAAAGGCAGCCUAGGAAUUCUAGAUGAAUGGAAUGAAUACAACUUGCUGGAAGUUCUUAGGAAACAAAAUGACUAUUCACAGAACCAAAUAAAAGCCUUCCACUAGAAACUAAAAAUAAUAAUAAUAAUAAUAAUGGUUUUAUAUAUAUGCAUACACAAGCAAAGCCAGAAGAGAAUAAAUAGCAAAUGAAUGAAAACUAGAAGCAAAAACAAACAGGAAACCAUCUCUACAUUUUUUUUACUCAAUCGACCCUGAAUGCUACAGCAUUAUCCAGGGCCGCAGAAAACACACAUAAUACUUUAUUCCUGAUAAACAAUUCGAUGUCCUUAAGUCCGCCAAUAUCACCGUACAUUCUGUGCAAUCAAGAAAUUUACUCAGCU